UACGUAGGUGGCAAGCGUUGUCCGGAAUUAUUGGGCGUAAAGCGCGCGCAGGCGGUCCUUUAAGUCUGAUGUGAAAGCCCACGGCUCAACCGUGGAGGGUCAUUGGAAACUGGGGGACUUGAGUACAGAAGAGAAGAGUGGAAUUCCACGUGUAGCGGUGAAAUGCGUAGAUAUCAGGAGGAACACCGGUGGCGAAGGCGGCUCUCUGGACGGAUACUGACGCUGAGGCGCGAAAGCGUGGGGAUCAAACAGG
rnacentral:rRNA from 1 species